UACGUAGGGUGCAAGCGUUAAUCGGAAUUACUGGGCGUAAAGCGUGCGCAGGCGGUUAUACAAGACAGAUGUGAAAUCCCCGGGCUCAACCUGGGAACUGCAUUUGUGACUGUAUAGCUGGAGUACGGUAGAGGGGAGUGGAAUUCCGCGUGUAGCAGUGAAAUGCGUAGAUAUGCGGAGGAACACCGAUGGCGAAGGCAGCUCCCUGGACCUGUACUGACGCUCAUGCACGAAAGCGUGGGGAGCAAACAGG
rnacentral:rRNA from 1 species